AGAGUUUGAUCAUGGCUCAGGAUGAACGCUGGCGGCGUGCUUAACACAUGCAAGUCGAACGGAAAGGCCCUUCGGGGUACUCGAGUGGCGAACGGGUGAGUAACACGUGGGUGAUCUGCCCUGCACUUUGGGAUAAGCCUGGGAAACUGGGUCUAAUACCGAAUAUGACCAUGCACUUCCUGGUGUGUGGUGGAAAGCUUUUGCGGUGUGGGAUGGGCCCGCGGCCUAUCAGCUUGUUGGUGGGGUAAUGGCCUACCAAGGCGACGACGGGUAGCCGGCCUGAGAGGGUGACCGGCCACACUGGGACUGAGAUACGGCCCAGACUCCUACGGGAGGCAGCAGUGGGGAAUAUUGCACAAUGGGCGCAAGCCUGAUGCAGCGACGCCGCGUGAGGGAUGACGGCCUUCGGGUUGUAAACCUCUUUCAGCACAGACGAAGUGUAAGUGACGGUAUGUGCAGAAGAAGGACCGGCCAACUACGUGCCAGCAGCCGCGGUAAUACGUAGGGUCCGAGCGUUGUCCGGAAUUACUGGGCGUAAAGAGCUCGUAGGUGGUUUGUCGCGUUGUUCGUGAAAACUCACAGCUUAACUGUGGGCGUGCGGGCGAUACGGGCAGACUUGAGUACUGCAGGGGAGACUGGAAUUCCUGGUGUAGCGGUGGAAUGCGCAGAUAUCAGGAGGAACACCGGUGGCGAAGGCGGGUCUCUGGGCAGUAACUGACGCUGAGGAGCGAAAGCGUGGGGAGCGAACAGGAUUAGAUACCCCGGUAGUCC
rnacentral:rRNA from 1 species